rnacentral:rRNA from 1 species
UGGGGAAUUUUGGACAAUGGGGGAAACCCUGAUCCAGCCAUCCCGCGUGUGCGAUGAAGGCCUUCGGGUUGUAAAGCACUUUUGGCAGGAAAGAAACGUCAUGGGUUAAUACCCCGUGAAACUGACGGUACCUGCAGAAUAAGCACCGGCUAACUACGUGCCAGCAGCCGCGGUAAUACGUAGGGUGCAAGCGUUAAUCGGAAUUACUGGGCGUAAAGCGUGCGCAGGCGGUUCGGAAAGAAAGAUGUGAAAUCCCAGAGCUCACCUUUGGAACUGCAUUUUUAACUACCGGGCUAGAGUGUGUCAGAGGGAGGUGGAAUUCCGCGUGUAGCAGUGAAAUGCGUAGAUAUGCGGAGGAACACCGAUGGCGAAGGCAGCCUCCUGGGAUAACACUGACGCUCAUGCACGAAAGCGUGGGGAGCAAACAGG